rnacentral:rRNA from 1 species
CCUACGGGUGGCAGCAGUGAGGAAUAUUGGUCAAUGGGCGCGAGCCUGAACCAGCCAAGUAGCGUGAAGGAUGACUGCCCUACGGGUUGUAAACUUCUGUUAUAAAGGAAUAAAGUGAGGCACGUGUGCCUUUUUGUAUGUACGUUAUGAAUAAGGAUCGGCUAACUCCGUGCCAGCAGCCGCGGUAAUACGGAGGAUCCGAGCGUUAUCCGGAUUUAUUGGGUUUAAAGGGAGCGUAGAGGGGUUGUUAAGUCCGUUGUGAAAGUUUGCGGCUCAACCGUAAAAUUGCAAUUGAUACUGGCAGUCUUGAGUACAGUUUCGCUAGGCGCACUUCGUUGUGUCGCGG